CAUGCCCCGCCCCGGAGCCAGGCCGAGCAAUUCCAAUAUGGUGGCCAGCUUGGCAGGUCUCCGCUUGCUGUUGAUGAUAUUGUUGUCGCGCGGGAUCCGGUUGGGCUUGAGCGGCCAGGCGGCGCCGCCCGUCGUGCGCCUGCGCCCGGAGGACCCCGCGGGCCGCGUGUGGAUGAAGGCGGGGAUCAUCUGGGCGCCGCGAGGAGCCUCGUUCAAGCUGCGGCUCUUCGGAACCGACCUGAGGAACCGGACCUGGCCGUGGCUGGCCUUCGCGGCGGAGGCUUCCGGAGCCGCGGCCGCCGGGGACCCGUGCGAGGACCGAGACGGACGACAGCAGGCCGCCUUCCAGGCGAACGAGCCCUUAGCGGAGGAGCAGGAGGAGGAUUGCAGCGGGCUGCUGACGGUGGAGAUGCGGCCUGGCGCCCUCCGGCAGAACCCCCAUCGCGUGUGCGUGAAGAGCGGGGGCAAGUGGACCUCGGCGGGUGAGGACAGGCUGCGGGUCAGCGCGGACGAGCCUCUGCCCGCGGAGCACAUCCCGGCGUGGGGCUUGGCGGUGCUGGUGCCGCUGCUGGUGCUCGCCUGCGGGCUGCUGAGGACGGUCCACCUCAGCCUGCUGUGGCUCGACCCGGUGGAGCUGUACGUGUUGCACAGCUGCGGUUCCGAGGAGGAGAAGCGCGCCGCCAAGCGCCUGGAGCCCGUCAGGAGGAGAGGGAACUUUCUGGCGUGCUCGCUGCUCUUCCUGUGCGUCCUGGGCCACUCCGCCUUGGGCGUCCUUCUCUUCCGGGUUUUGGGCUCGGUGGCGUCGGCCGCCUUCGCCGCCGCCUUCGCGCUCUUCUUCCUGGCCGAGCUGCUGCCUCACGCCGUGUGCUCCGGGCACGGCUUCCGGCUGGCCCCGGGCCUCGCUUGGCUGGCCCAGCUGAGCAUGGUGCUCACCUGCCCGCUGUCCUGCCCCCUGGGGCUGGUCCUGGACCUGGCGUUGAGGCGGGACAUCAGCACCUGCUGCAUCAGGGAGCGGGCCAUGGAGAUGAUCCGCACCAGCGUCAACGACCCCUACAGUGAGUUCGUGAAGGAGGAGUUCAGUCGCGGGACGCUGCGCAGUAAGACGGUGGAGGACAUCUUGACGCCCCUCAAGGACUGCUUCAUGCUGCCCAGCUCCACCGUGCUGGACUUCUCCACCAUGUCGGACAUCAUGCAGAGCGGGUACACGCGCGUGCCCAUCUACGAGGAGGAGAGGUCCAACAUCGUGGAGAUCUUGUACGUGAAGGACUUGGCGCUGGUGGACCCCGACGACCGCACGCCCAUGACCACCAUCACCAAGUUCUACAACCACCCGCUGCACUUCGUCUUCAACGACACCAAGCUGGACGCCAUGCUGGAGGAGUUCAAGAAAGGCAACUCUCACAUGGCCAUCGUGCAGAAGGUCAAUAACGAGGGCGAGGGCGACCCCUUCUACGAGGUGCUGGGAUUGGUCACGCUGGAGGACGUCAUCGAGGAGAUCAUCAAGUCGGAGAUCCUGGACGAGUCGGACGGCUACCUGGACAGGAAGGUGAAGCGUCCCCUGCCCCCCCUGGAGAUCUCGUUGGAGCCUCGAGGGACCCCCGACGAGUUCUCGCUCUUCAAGACGCCCGAAGGAGAGCCCAAGAUCAGGACGUCGCCACAGCUGCUGCUCGCCACGCACCGCUUCCUCUCCAGAGAGGUGGAGCAUUUCAGUCCGGCACGCGUGUCCGAGAAGAUCCUUUUCCACCUUCUGCGUCACCCCAGCGUCAACCAGGAGGUGCACUUCGACCCCGGCAACCGCCUCAGCCCCACGCACUACCUGUACACGCGCAACCACCCGGUGGACUACUUCAUACUGCUGCUGCAGGGUCGAGUGGAGGUGGAGAUCGGCAAGGAAGGCCUCAAGUUCGACAACGGCGCUUUCACGUAUUACGGCGUGUCGGCGCUAACGCUGCCGUCCUCAGCGCAUCAGUCUCCAGUGUCGAGUCAGCGUCAGUCUCCCAGAGAUCCGUUUGGCGCGUCUGAGGCGGCCAGCCCGUCCAGUUACUGUCCGGACUACACAGUCAGAGCGCUCACCGACCUGCAGCUCAUCCGGGUGACCCGCCUCCAGUACCUGAACGCUCUAACGGCGUCGCGGGGCGGCGGCGGCGGCGGCGGCCCGAGCCCCGAGCCGCCCGAGAUCAAGAUCCUUCCCAACAGUCACACCAAACUGCUCAACGACAGGAACGUGGCCUCGGCCGCGCAAGUGAACAUGUGAAAUGCGAAUUGAAAUGGUCCACGACUUCCUGAGCUGCGGACGUUUUUCUGCCGAGAGGCCUGAAAUGGGCUCAUUGGAAUUUCUCCAGCUUAUCGACGUCACUAGCGAAGAUCUCCGCCGACCGCUGUCGACAGAACAAACACGUGUGCUCUCGCAACCAUUCAGAGGAAAGGGGCCGGUCUUAGCCAGAUCUGGACAAAGCGGAUACGAAAGUGGGUCAAACGGAAGUAGCCGUCAGAGGGGCCUUUUCCGGACACUCGUAUGACAAAACCAAGGUGGAAUAGAAGAAGGCGAAGAUGAUGAAGAUGAAGAAGAGGCGCGUGCAUAGCGAUGUCCACAUCAAACGUUCGUCUGAUUGGACAACACUGCUCUCUGUUCCUUUUAUGUCAUUGUAAUUAUCAUUAUUAUUACUUGUAUUAAUAUUAUUAUUGUGUAGAUUUGUAUUAUAUUUACAUUGAUUUGGUUAAGGGCGGUGCCUUUCUUACAAAACCGUGUCAAAGUGUGUGUGUGUGAGCAUCCGUCCGUUCGGUCACAAAUUCAUCAAACGAGCGGCGCACGCGCUCCGUAGGCCAGAUGGUCACGUGACCCGUCGGGCUGGUUUCCGUGGUUACGCUGAGUGGGCGUUUGGGCUUUGUUGAUGCUGACCGCCGAAAGAUUUGCUCAUCAAGAAGUCUCUUUGCCAAACAUGUCACAGAAAAGCUCAUUCAAACUUAAACGACACUUUAAACAUUUUUCCAUUCGAUGUUUUGUUUGUUCGUUCUCAAGGUAGCCGCGUAGCUAGCUAGCGUCUCUUUGGUUGUUUUCGUUGAUUGAUCGUUUGUCUUUUGUUUUACAACAACAGCAACAAUUUGUGUGUGUGAAAUGUUGACUCAUCCUUUACUGGAACCCCAAACUAGCACAUUGGCCCUCGUCCUUUUUGUCUCUCUGUGCGUGAGCGUCAUGAUUAGCAUGCUAACAUGCGAACGCGUCCCUGAACGAAGAAGUCCUGCACACAUUGUGUAGUGUUUGUUUAUUUUUUUUAACUUGGACCAGCUGACACGGUUCAUUAUCAUAAGUGCAUGCCAAAGUUAACGUGGCUAAUUUAGUUAAUCUUCCCUCCUGGAAGCUAACUUCUCACUUUGUUGAUGAUAUCUGUAUUUACGUUACCAUUCCUUUUAAACGUAAGCCUACAUGUUAACUUUAGCUCACUUGCCUUUGGAAGUCAAUACCAAGGUACUAAUGCUAAGUUAGCUUGUGGCUAUGUUAUUUAGCAUGCUGACAAUUCUUUUCUGUUGACUUUGUGUUUUCGCUAAAGCAAAACCUCAAAUGUGUGUUUUUAUUUAGUGAGCAUUUGACAGGCUAAGUGCUAAACUAAGCUUGGGUUAGACAAUCAUCGUUUGAGAAGGCGGAUUAGCCGAUUUAGCAAGGCUACCCUUUGAGGUCUUUUGGUUUGGUAGUUUUAUGAAGAGAAAUUAAAACCAAUAAGCUUAGCGUUAGACCCUCAUUAGCGUGGUGUGUGAUUAGCAUCGGGCUCGUUAGCCAAAUAUACAUUUCUUUUUUUUCUUCUGACAACCUCUCGAUGUUAAUCAAGUGCAUGCCAAAGUUUUAGCCAAUGCUAAUGAGGCUAAUUUACCUAAUGUACCAUCCUGGAAGCUAACAUGUCACUGAUCAUUCAUUUGAAUUAAUUAACUAUUGGCUUGAAACGUAAGCUUACAUGCUAACUUUAGCUUCCUUGCCUUUGGAGGUCAAUGCUAAGGUACGAAGGCUAAGCUGCUUAGUGGCUAUGCUAACGUUUGUCAUGCUGACAAUUCCUUUCAGUUGACUUUUUAUGUUUCUGGUUCAGAAAACCUUGUAAAAUGUUUUUAUUUAGUGAGCAUUUGACAGGCUAAGCUGAGUUAUGGUUGGACUAUUGUCAUUUGAGAAGGUUGAUUAGUAACUUUUGAGGACUUUUGUUUUCGCCGGUUUUUUGAAGCGAUAUUGGCGCCAACAACAAGCUCAGUGUUAGCCCCUCGUUAGCGUGAUGAGCAUCACGCUAGUUAAUGAGCUAUCACGUGUGUUCUCUCAUUCCAUAUCCGUUUCUUCAACGGCUGUUAGCACUUGAUAUGAAAAUCUUGUUUGAUUCCAAGAUUUGUUCAAAUAGUUUUAUUGAAAUAACUUUUUUGUAUAAAACGUGAAUGUAAAAAAAGAAAAAUCACAAUGAAGAGUGCAAGUAUUCAUGUCAAAGUGCAGGAUGUAGUUAGCAAGUAGUUUUUAGAUGAGUUUGAAGUUAUUCAAUCACUUCCUCUGUGCAUUUUUUUUUAUAGUUUUUUUCCGCAGCAACGACGUUGGAUUUAAUACUUUCAAUGAUUACAUUUUACUAGGAAAUAAAGUCACCCUUGUUCUAAA